CCCCUCUCAGGGUCACACCUGGAGAGUUUCCAAUCCUCUGCCAGUCUAGACUAUGGGAGAGAGAGUCAAGCAGAGGCAGAUCCAUUCCAUUCCUAGCUUGAGCAGUGGCUAGUGAGUGGAAGGCCAUCUGCUCCAAGU